GCUGGGUGUGGUGAUGCAUGCCUGUAAUCCCAGCAGCUAGGGAGGCUGAGGCAGGAGGAUAGCAAAUUCAAAGCCAGCCUCAGCAACCACGAGGUUCUAAGCAACUCAGCAAAACCCUGUCUCUA
rnacentral:sRNA from 1 species